UGCUAAUGAAUGGGGGUGAUGAUUGU
rnacentral:piRNA from 1 species